ensembl:lncRNA
CUGGAUCAUCUGGGUGGAGCGGCUGAGUGGAUGUGACAUAAUUGAAUGAGGCCUCCGCGUCCUCCACCCAGAGCGGGGGAAUUAGCAGGCCCGACCCUCGCCCAGGAGACUGCGUUCCGCCCUCAUCUGCCCGCAUUGCUCCACUCCACAGCCACCCACCUGGGCUGGGGGCGCCUGCCAGGAAGUGGCUCCCGCCAGGGCUGCUGAAGGGAAAGAGGAGGCAGAGCGCCAUGGGCAGGGAUGGAGAAGCUGAGGCCGAAGAGAAUAAGGCACCUGCCCGAGGAUGCCCAGCUACAAGCAAAGAAGCCAGACGUGAGCCCAGGCCUGGCCCCCGCUGCACGAAUGGCGGCCCCUCCUGGUUCAGCUCCAGGGGAAUCUGUUCCAGGCCGGUGGCUCUCCAGGCUGGCUGGAUGCAGAGGACUUCCUGGUGGCUGCGGGCAGAGAGUGUGGUCCGGGGAUUGUCUUUAUCACCUUUCCUGGUCUCUGCCUCCUUCUCCGGAGAUCUGGCGCUUCCCCUCACCAUCUACAUAGGCCUCUCCAACUCUCAGCUGGAUCACGUCAUUUUAAAGCAUAGCCUUGGCCAAGAUUGGUUAAUUUUAAUAGCGGACUCAGGUGUAAUAGGAGAGACAUUUGGGCCACAGGCAGGGUUCCCUGUACCCUUAGUUACCCAUCACGGGCAGGCUCCUCCCCUACGUACUCAAGCCUCUUCUGGCUAUGUGACCUGCUCUGUCCAGGUGGGGAGAAAAGACACCUGGAUGCUUAUCACCUAUUGCCUUUGUGUCCCCUUGUCCUCCAUGGACAAUUCUCAGCCACCGGCACCAGUGUGGAAAGUUCUGCCCGCCAGACCAACCCACUUCUCCCCAGAAGCAGGGGCUUUGCUUCUGGUGGGGACCCCCAGACAACGGCUCCCACUCACCAAAGGGGCUCCCCCGUCCCCCCUGGCUGCCUUCCGUCAGGGUUCAGGGGGCUUCAGACGGGGACAACCCCCAGCUGCCUAGCUGCUGGGCACUCUCUGACCUGGGCGGAUGGCUAUGAGGGUCCGAUGAGGCCCCCCGCCCCGCCCAGCACUCUCCCAGCCCUCUGUGGGGAAGGGAGAGGGCGCCCAUUUCGGCUCAGGCAGCUCCACGAGGAGCCCUGAAGGGCCAGGAGGUGGUUCACGUUCCCCGGGCAGCCGUUUCCUAACAGCCACGCGGGGAUCUCAGUGCCCAGGAGGGAGGUGCUCGUCCCUCCACCCGCUCCACUCUGGCGCAGCAGGGCAGAGAGCAAAUUGACUGUCCACUCUGCGCACAGGAAAUGGCCUGGCAAAGAAGGCCGGGGAGAGGCUCAGAGAGCAGGAGGGUGAGGGGGAAGAGACAGGCAGGAAAGGGGCUGGAGAAGAGCCACCGACGAAGGAACUCGAAGCCGAGGAGUGACUUCAUCCAAGCCUCUACUCUCACCAGCAAGGACCCUGUCAGGUGGAGGGACUCACCCGAGUUCUCUCAGCUGUCCCGACACUGGAUGGGGUCCUCCCGCGGCAGUCUCAUCAUCAGAUCCUGACUGGCGGCCCCAAAAGGAAGCUCAUGGCUUCGUCACCAAGAGGCUGGAAGUCUAGCUCUGCCCUGGAGCCAAGAGCCACGUCUCCUCUCCUGCUCAAAACCCUCCGUGGCCUCCGGAACCACAGCCCCUCUGAGCCUGGCAGUCAGUGCUCUCCCCACCUGGCUCCAACCUACUCUCCUUUUUGCCUCCCACCACUGCUCCCCACAAAUCCCCGACCGAGCCUGCUCUAUGCUGCGUGGUGACGCUCCGCACUCUCUCGUCUUGGCUCACACUGGAAUCCCCUUCCUUUCAGUGCCUCUCUCAGAUAUCAGCUCCCAGGCCUCAGGAAGCUCUCUCUGUCGUGUACUGUCAUGCCACAAUUUUUGUACCUCUCAUGGAGAGAGGAGAAUAACAUUUAUUGAUAUUGGUCUCUACUUUCAAUAUGCCUGUUAUUAUGAUCUCCACUUUACGAAUGAAGAAACAGAUUCAGAGAGGUUAAGCAACUGACCUAAGGUCACACAGCUAAUUAUUAAGUGAGUGUUGGAGGCGGAAAGCAAAUCUAAGGCUAACUCCAAACCCCUGCCAUGCUUUACAUUAUAGUUGCUGUAUAUCGCCCAUUCGCGGCCUCUUGGGCAGUAAAUUCCUUGAUGCAGG